rnacentral:rRNA from 1 species
AGGGAUCAUUACCAAUGGUUCCUCGAUCGGCUCCGGCCGACCGACCACAUUACACCCUUCUUUACGCGCACCUUAUGUUCUCCUUCGGCGGGGCGACCCGCCGCUGGAACCUAACAAACCUUUUGCAUUAGCAUUACCUGUUCCGAUCAAUAUAAUCGUUACAACUUUCAACAAUGGAUCUCUUGGCUCUGGCAUCGAUGAAGAACGCAGCGAAAUGCGAUAAGUAGUGUGAAUUGCAGAAUUCAGUGAAUCAUCGAAUCUUUGAACGCACAUUGCGCCCCUCGGUAUUCCGUGGGGCAUGCCUGUUCGAGCGUCAUCUACACCCUCAAGCACUGCUUGGUGUUGGGCGUCUGUCCCGCCUCUGCGCGGCGACUCGCCCCAAAGGCAUUGGCAGCGGUCUCUUGCACCUCUCGCGCAGCACAUUGCGCUUCUCGAGGCGAGGCAGGCCGCGACCACGAAGCUUUUAUUCGUCUUUGACCUCGGAUCAGGUAGGGAUACCCGCUGAACUUAAGCAUAUCAAUAAGCGGAGGAAAAGAAACCAACAGGGAUUGCCCUAGUAACGGCGAGUGAAGCGGCAACAGCUCAAAUUUGAAAUCUGGCUCCCUUGGGGGUCCGAGUUGUAAUUUGCAGAGGGUGCUUUGGCAUCGGCGGCGGUCUAAGUUCCUUGGAACAGGACAUCGCAGAGGGUGAGAAUCCCGUACGUGGGCGCCUGCCUUUGCCGUGUAAAGCCCCUUCGACGAGUCGAGUUGUUUGGGAAUGCAGCUCUAAAUGGGAGGUAAAUUUCUUCUAAAGCUAAAUACCGGCCAGAGACCGAUAGCGCACAAGUAGAGUGAUCGAAAGAUGAAAAGUACUUUGGAAAGAGAGUCAAAUAGCACGUGAAAUUGUUGAAAGGGAAGCGCUUGCAGCCAGACGUGCCCGCAGUUGCUCACCCAGGCUCCGGCCUGGGGCACUCUUCUGCGGGCAGGCCAGCAUCAGUUUGGGCGGUUGGAUAAAGGUCUCUUUCAUGUAUCUCCCUCCGGGGAGACCUUAUAGAGGAGGCGUAAUGCAACCAGCCCGGACUGAGGUCCG